UGGUGGAGUGAUUUGUCUGGUUAAUUCCGAUAACGAACGAGACUCUGUCCUGCUAACUAGGUUGUGUUUUAUCGGGUUGGUGUUCUGGUGUUCCUUCUCGGGGCGCCGGCCCAAUCCACUUGUGAACACAACACUCUUCUUAGAGGGACUGGCGGCUGUUAGCCGCACGAGAUAGAGCAAUAACA
rnacentral:rRNA from 1 species